UACAGAGGGUGCGAGCGUUAAUCGGAAUUACUGGGCGUAAAGCGCGCGUAGGCGGCUUUUCAAGUCGAUUGUGAAAUCCCCGGGCUUAACCUGGGAACUGCAGUCGAGACUGUCUAGCUAGAGUAUGGGAGAGGGAAGUGGAAUUUCAGGUGUAGCGGUGAAAUGCGUAGAUAUCUGAAGGAACAUCAGUGGCGAAAGCGACUUCCUGGACCAAUACUGACGCUCAUGUGCGAAAGCUAGGGUAGCAAACAGG
rnacentral:rRNA from 1 species